UGCGCAGGCGGCAUAGUAAGUUAGUGGUGAAAGCCCGGAGCUCAACUCCGGAUCUGCCAUUGAUACUGCUAAGCUUGAGUACGGUUGAAGUGGGCGGAAUGUGACAUGUAGCGGUGAAAUGCUUAGAUAUGUCACAGAACACCAAUUGCGAAGGCAGCUCACUAAACCGUUACUGACGCUGAGGCACGAAAGCGUGGGUAGCGAACAGGAUUAGAUACCCUGGUAGUCC
rnacentral:rRNA from 1 species